UGUUGACCUAAGGAAGAAGAGAGAGAUUUUCUUUACCAGGAGGGGUGAGUCCAGUCCGUGUGGCUGCUGGGUGAUGUCCCUCAGGCCUCCCACGCCACACUCCCAGCACCCACGCAGCAACCAGGGCCCUGUGCUGGGCAGGUGGGGGAGGGCAGACCCAUCCCCUGUCUUCCCUUUGCCUGGGGCUGUCUGCUCAUCCACAUCUCCAUCAUGCCCUUUGCUCUGACAUUUGGUAUCUGCCAAACUGUCACAGAAGCAGCAGGUGGGAUUUCAUGGUCCAGUCUGCUUAGCCACCCUCUCAAGGCUGACACGGUCCCUUGAGUUUCCUAUCACAGCAAAGGCAUCUUUCAUGUUUGUAUCAUUACACAUUUCUUUGCUUGUGCUUCCUUUUCUGGUUUGUGUAUACCUCUUUUUAAAGUAGGUCCCAAGUUACCAUUAUCCAGUGAAUCUAUUUUUUCCUGAUGCUGUGCAUCUUGGCUUUCCUCACGUCUCCCGGAAGUGCCCGUCUUGUGGUCACCCAUGCUAGGAGCAGAGUUACACCACAGGCUGACCACCUCCCUCCGCGUUUCAUGCUUCUAUGCUUGAAGCUCCAUCUUUUUCCCUUAACAGACUUCAUGAUAUGGGGUCUCAUUUGCAUUUCUAACCUUGUUCUUUACCACGCAUAAGCCUGAGGGUUUUUCUUGACUCAUGAUCUGAGUUACUGGAGCAACAUAACUUCCUACAACAUCUCACUGUGUCAGCUGCUUUCCUUGAUGGGUCAUUUUAAUUUCACAUCUCAGAUUGUCAGUAAUUCUCCUCCUAGAAGAGAGUUGGCUCCCCUCCUCAGGCCUGGGGAAAGGGGAGAAGGUUGACGUGACACUUUGAUCUUGAGACUGGCAUGCUGUGAUCUCUCCCUCCUAAAUUCCCCAUGUGGAUUAAGUGAACCCCCACAUACCAGAGUGGAGGUGGCCCUGGGUGUGGCUGUUUGACUUGGUCGUCUUCACUGGAAGUGGAUCCAGGAAAUGUGGAGCAGCUCUGACCCGGCCCGCCGGUGUCGAUGGGAGCCGACUGGCUGGUGCAGGUCACAGGCAUAGGCCCCCGUGCUCUCCUCUGUCUCCCACCAGGCCUCCCUCCAAGCUCUCCAAGCUCCCUGGUCCCAUGCUCUGGCCUAAUGCACCAGGAGCACUGGGGCUCCCUGGCCCUCUCCCUGUUCUCCCAGCAGCCUCCUACUUCCCAGCCCCAGCACUGGGAGGAGCUCUGUGGGCAGGUCCCUGGCGACUGGCGAAGGCCUGACCAAUUAUGUACCAGGAAGUGAGGGGAGGAAGAAUGGGUGUUUCUUUUCCAUCCCUCCACGGGCCGGUACUCCUGUGACUGACCAGCUGCUCUCUCUCCCGUAAACAUCCCAUAGGUGUGCACACGGGCUUUCAUAUAGAUACACAGUGGGUGCUGUUAAGGCCAGGCGGGAAUCCUGGUCAGAAAUCUCCAUUUUCCCUGCACUGCCCUCUCUGUCUCUGUGGGGGCUCCGAGGGACGUGCCUUCCUUCAGUGCCGCUGGUCUUCCCAGUGCCCCUGGUAGGGACUCCCAAGUCAGUUCUGUCAGUUUUUCCCUCUGAAGGCAGGACGCCCGUGCCCGGACAGCCUCACAGGCACUUUGGGCUCAGUGUCUGUGUUACUCUUGUCCAGUCGUGGCUCUGUCCUCCCAUUCCUCACCACUGCCCUUGGACUCACUCCUGCCAGCAGGUGGGGCAGCCACCGACACUCCCUGCUUCCCUGACUCACCAGUCCCAGGCCCGCGUCUGGGGGGUGGUGCCCUCCUGUAGAGGCCCCGCUGCUCCCUGUGUACCUGGCAGCCAGCGCGCAGCCAGUGUCUUAGAUGCAGCCAUCCUCUGUCCUCGAGGGCUCCUGGUGCCCUGCUUUGGGGAGGGGCUGGGCCUGUGCAGCGCCGCAGGCUGAGGCGCUCCUGGAGCUCCCAGACCUGCCUCUGCGCACCCUCACCUGCUGCUCCCUCAGCGGCCUGCUGCUGCUGUCUCCUCAGUCAGCCAUGUGUCGGAGACCUGUUGUGUGCUCUGGGAGGCUCUGCCUGCUCUCCCCGCACUGACCGGAGUCUGUGGGACUUGAGCCAGGCUGCAGCCUGGUGCUGCACGUGUCCACAGGCAGUCAGCUCCCUGCACUUACUCUAAACAUCGCUUGUUCUUUCUCUUUGCUGGAAAUUCAGAUUUUCGGAGCCUCAGUAUUCAAGUGGCUGGAUCGUGUGCUAUGAUGAGCAGCGCCAGUGAUCAUAAGGUCAGUCACACAACACCAGCUGCACUUAGUGCCUGCAGAGCGCUGUUCUCCGCCCUGUAGGACGGCUGCUCUGUGCUCACCAUCUUCCACACUGUAUGAUAAACUGGCUUACUGGUGAGCUUUUGUAAGUGAAAGUUCUACGAAUCACACAGCACUAUGCUACUACUGUUACCGCUGUGACAACUAUGUAACUGUAAUGGAUUUGAUUCUUAGAAGCUGUGUUUACAGCUCCAGCUUGUUGUUCCCGCAGGCGGGGUGCCUGCUCACGUCCUUGUUUGGAAGUAAGGUCGCCGUGUUGGAAAUCAACCUGCUGGCUCUGCUGAGGUCUCAGACGCGCCUGCACUGAGGGGAGGACCUCUCUGUGCUGUCUGCUCCUACGUCUUACCAACUUCUCCGCUGUAUUUCAUAAUUGUUGAGGAAGAAAGUACAAAGCCGGCUGGUCAAAAACAAUCUGGAAUACCGGAUCUGUCAUUUGAUAGCAAGGCUCCCGGGACCGGAACCCGACGUUGCUCUGGAACUCAGUAGUCCAGUAGGGCACCCGACCACCUGUAGCUGGCCAGUGACCUCGAGGGCACUGAUGACUGGCAGGUGGUGUGCCCAUGUGGCCUUGGCCGCACGUCACCUGUGGGAACAGCCACGAGAAACCUGUGGGUGGAGAUGACCCGGACGCACACCUCAGAAUGAAGAGUUCUUCGGCGAGAACAGUGCUCGCCAUCCGGAAGCUACUGCUGGUUUGUGGGCGAUGGGAAAUUCAAAAGGAAGAUGGAAUUUAGACCAGUUUCUGAUGAAAUGCAGACCAAAUGCUUGUUUGGACCCAGAACAUUUUAAAUCAUGUGGGGAAAAAGGACAUGUUUUAUCCAGUACUUAUAGAUAUUAGAAGUUAUAAAAAUACCAUAAAGUUAAAAAGGUUUUAUAGAUGGUAUAGUUCCUAUAAACACUGAAGUAGGCGUGUGUCCACUUUACACUGUGGUGAAAAUAUUCUUAAGUCUAAAAUAUUAUAUAACAUAGAACAUGACAAUGAAAAUAGUCUCUAUUUUUCAACUUAAAGCCCUCCUUCCUGACCAUGUUUUAAGUAUGUGAAGGGGACAGCAAUAUAUUUUUCUAUACUUUGACAUUUUUAAUAAAAAUUAAAGGUGUUUUUUGAAUAGUGAUUAAAAGGGCAGGAUUGGAGAAAAAAGAAGCCCAGGGGUUGCCGUUUGCCUGCAGCAGUGUUAACAUAAGCGCCCUGCUGGGUGACUGACUCUCUUCUUUCUGUAGAGGUCACGUUGCCCCACAGCAAAGGCCCAAGGUCUGGGGCAUGCUCAGGAGUAUGGACAGAUGCACCUGUGAGGCCCCCAGACCCAGUGCUGCCCCCAUCCAGGGUCGCCCACAUGCCCUUCCCACCAUCCCCACAUUCAUGCCCAGUGUAAUGGGCAUUCACAUCCAUCAGCAUUGGUUUUGUCCUUUCUGGUUCUUCACCUUGGUGGGGUCUGGCUCAGAGUGACUUGAAGUGCAUACUGGCACCUCCUUCCUUCAUGUGGGGAGGAUCCCCCUGCCUGGUGCAGCCCGGUCUCCCCAUUUCUCAGCCGAGGAGCUUCUGACGUUUCCAGUCUGUGGUGACCACAACGAAGGCACCGGGGUGUUGGAGCAGCUGUCUGUGUGGACACCUCCUGUUUCUCCUGAGUGAGCAGGUGGGAGCCCAGCGGGUGAGGGUGGGGACCCCCGCUGGCCCUCCACCUCUUUCUUGCUGCCUGUCCUGUCAGAGCUCCUGUGCUUCCACAUUCUCAGCCAUAGUCAGUCUUAUUAGUCUUAUUUUUAGCUAUUGUAGUUUUAGUGUAGUUUGAAUUUACAUUUCUUUAAUAAGGAGUGAUACUGAGCACUUUAUCUGUGUUCAUAGGCCUGCUUUUAAUUUAUUUUUUAUUGUUGAGUUGUAGAACUUUUAAAAAAUGUAUUCUGGAUGCUAUUGUAUGUCACAUGUAUAUAUUGCAGAUAUGUGUCAAUUUGUAUUAAGAUAAUAUCCUUUAAUGAACGAGGGCGUUAAAUUUUUUUUAAAUCCCACUCUGACUCUACGGUUAGUGCUUUCUGCAGCCUGUCUCAGAAAUCUCUGCCAAUCCAGGGCCGCAAAGAUAUUCUCUGAGUUUUCUUCCACGAAGUGUAGUUUUUAUUUGUAUUUAGGUCUAAGAUCCAUUGUAUUAGCAUUUAUCGCUCCACAACAGUAUUUGUAAAAGCUUCAUGGUCUAAAACAACACACAUUUAUUACCUCACAGUUUCUGUAGGCGAGAGUCUGGCGACUCAGGGGGUCCGCGGCUCAGGCUCCCUCCUGGGCGGCUGACGGGCUGCGACCUCGCCGGAGACUCUGCGGGCCGGUCAGCUUCCAGGCUCGCUCAGCCUGCCGGCCGGUCCUGAUCUCUGCGGCUGUAGGACGGAGGGUCCCGCUCUUAGAGGAUCGCUGCAGUUCCUUGCCACGUGGGGUCCCCGGUGAGGCUGCCUGCCUCCUCACACUCGGCAAGGGACAGAGCCUCCAGCAAGAAGGCGCUGUGGUGUCACACACGAGGCGCCUGCACUUGUUCCGCGCAGCCCGCCCCCUUGUUCUGCAGCCCAGGAUGAGUCUUGGCCCUGUCCCCCUC